rnacentral:rRNA from 1 species
GCAAGUCGAACGGUAACAUUUCUAGCUUGCUAGAAGAUGACGAGUGGCGGACGGGUGAGUAAUGCUUGGGAACUUGCCUUUGCGAGGGGGGUAACAGUUGGAAACGACUGCUAAUACCGCAUAAUGUCUUCGGACCAAACGGGGCUUCGGCUCCGGCGCAAAGAGAGGCCCAAGUGAGAUUAGCUAGUUGGUAAGGUAACGGCUUACCAAGGCGACGAUCUCUAGCUGUUCUGAGAGGAAGAUCAGCCACACUGGGACUGAGACACGGCCCAGACUCCUACGGGAGGCAGCAGUGGGGAAUAUUGCACAAUGGGGGAAACCCUGAUGCAGCCAUGCCGCGUGUGUGAAGAAGGCCUUCGGGUUGUAAAGCACUUUCAGUUGUGAGGAAAAGUUAGUAGUUAAUACCUGCUAGCCGUGACGUUAACAACAGAAGAAGCACCGGCUAACUCCGUGCCAGCAGCCGCGGUAAUACGGAGGGUGCGAGCGUUAAUCGGAAUUACUGGGCGUAAAGCGCACG